AAAGAGGCUAUGGGAAAGAAACCUGGAAAGGUAGGGAGGUAUGGAUAUGGACAAGCUAUGCCAAGGAGCAGGGCUUUGUCAUGGAGAGUGACUAGGUGCUUUUACAUAGGAAAGUCACCUGAUAAUAUUAAAACCUGUGAAAUAUCACUCUGGUGGAAGUGUGAAUGAAUUUGAAAGGGGUGUAACACUGUUCUACUUUGUUUACUCCUCAGUACCCUUGGCUGUGUACAUUUGAGUAAAGAGAGCACUAUAAAAUCAAAAACCAAUGAAAUGGUUUCCAGAACACAGAACUAUUAAGCUUAAGAAAAGGACAGAAGGAACUGAAGAGAGAGGAACUGUUUUGGAGCAUCACACUUCCACCUCAGAAGAAAUAAGGAAGGAAGGAGGAGGGUGUUCCCACGGCUCUUCAACCAGGCCGGCUCUUCAGCCUACAUCCCCAUCUCAUCAAGUAAAAGGGAUUUUUCAACUGGACCAACCAGAUGGUUUAACAGUGCACUCCCACACCAUUCAACUACGCAAGGGAGAUACACUUAACAUAUGCAGUCGUAUAACACCUACUAACAUUUUCAAACAUUAAACCUUUAAAAAAGAGUUCUAAAGAAAUAGAAGCUUGAAGUAUCAUCUCUCAAGUAUAUAGACACUACUUCAUGGUGUGGUAAUAUAUGCAUAUAGAAGCUAGUAAACACCUCCAGGAGAUGCAAAAGGAAUUAGAACUGCCACAAGGUGCAAGCAAAACCUUGAGGUAAUCAAUCUGCAUCCCAUUUUGGAUGAGAAUAUUUGCAACUUUGAAGGUUAUUUUAAGGACAGCAGCAGAAGAAUUAUGGCAGCUUCUUUAAAAUAUGAAGACUUCGAAGUUAUUUAUCCAAACCAACCUGAUCAUUUCUUAAGAGUGAAUAUACCUUGGAAGACGUGUCCUGCCUUUAGUAGCGUCACAAUGGAUUACAUCCUCUAUAAAGCAGUCUGGGGUGAGAAAAUCGAAUUUGGACACCGUUGAGGAGACUAUUGCAGUCAUCCAAGCUCAAGAUGGUGGAGCUUCAUCCUUGAGAAUAACCAAUGGGGAUAGAUUUAAGAGACACUUAGAGUCUGCAGCCAACAGGGCUGAAUGAGCAGAGAGUUAUGAUUCAGAAGAUCAUCUAAAAUUGAACAGCUGCCACUACUGGCAAUAAGUCUACUGCCAUUUGGUAGAUAACCUUCUUAUCACACAGAAAAAUAUCAGUACAGACAAAUAGACCGCAAAGAAAAUGAGACCAUCAGCAAAGAAGAUAAAGAAGUUUGUACAAAGCAACUUUUUAUAAAUGGAUGGCUGUCAGGCAAAAAUAAAUUUCCUGUGGACAAGACCAAGAGCAAGGCAAGAGGAAAAUAAACAUGUUUAAACU
rnacentral:lncRNA from 1 species